CUCAACGACACCAUCUCCAACAUCAUCGGCGUCACCUUCUUCAACCUGCUGGAGGUGCCGUGCUUCGUGCUGGAGGACAGCGAGGAGUGCGUGCAGUGGCACUGGUGGGGCGGGUGCGAACGCUACGGCGUGGUGCCCCUGGCCAGGAUGGUGCAGCAGGGGCAGUACGGCCACGGGCUGCCCGCAGAAGGCAGCGACGGCGGCCGGGGAAGGAAGCCCUCCGGAGCGGGUCGGAAGCGCCUGCGGCAGGGGCUGGGACGCGGUCCCGGGCUCCGCCGUGUGCGGAGGCCUGUGACAGCCCAGCACCCGCGGGGCCCGGGUGCCUCGUCCCCUGCGUCUGCCAGGGACGAGGCUGAGCCCGCUGCCAGGCGCGCAGCACCUUGGGGUGAGCUGGAGCCGGGCCUGCCAACCGCGGUGGCCACGUUGGAACAGGAGCUCGCUGGAGGACAGCAGGGGCCGGGGGCCUCGGCACGGCCCGCUCUUGAGGCAAGCCCUGAAGACAGCAGCAUCGGAUCCAGCCUGGCUACAGAGCCCUGUGAGGCUGUCCCUGCACCUCCCGGGAAUGGGCGCAGGCAGCAGGGCCUGGGGAGGAUGUGCAGGUGCUACAAGCGCCUGGAUAAGUGUGAGUACCAGAUCGCACCCCAUGAGUUGAAGUACCAGCUGCAUAACGCAGACACCCGGACGCUCUUCCACUGCAACUGCACUCGCAGACUGGCGCGGUCCCUGCGCAGGGCGAAGGGUUUCAAUGAGGUGCAGGCAGCAGUCUUGGCUGACCACGUUGCUGCAGCUUGCUUUGUGUUGGAGCCACUCACCAACUGCAGCCUGGGCAAGGAGCCACAGCGCAACAGCUGUACCUCAGCGACCCGGGCUGUGCUAGUAGUACCUGCACGGCAUCUCAAAAACAUCCUGAGGCGCUGGGGUGCUCCUCGCAUAACCUCCAAGGUCAAGCAUCAAGACUGGAAGACACAGGGCAGUGGCAGCACCCUCUAUGAGCAAUGCCGGCAACUGGCUUUGGAGCAGAAGCUGUGUGCACAGCGUCACACAGCACCCCGAUGA
rnacentral:lncRNA from 1 species